rnacentral:rRNA from 1 species
AUUGAACGCUGGCGGCAGGCCUAACACAUGCAAGUCGAGCGGAUGAAGGGAGCUUGCUCCUGGAUUCAGCGGCGGACGGGUGAGUAAUGCCUAGGAAUCUGCCUGGUAGUGGGGGAUAACGUCCGGACACGGGCGCUAAUACCGCAUACGUCCUGAGGGAGAAAGUAGGGGAUCUUCGGACCUCACGCUAUCAGAUGAGCCUAGGUCGGAUUAGCUAGUUGGUGGGGUAAAGGCCUACCAAGGCGACGAUCCGUAACUGGUCUGAGAGGAUGAUCAGUCACACUGGAACUGAGACACGGUCCAGACUCCUACGGGAGGCAGCAGUGGGGAAUAUUGGACAAUGGGCGAAAGCCUGAUCCAGCCAUGCCGCGUGUGUGAAGAAGGUCUUCGGAUUGUAAAGCACUUUAAGUUGGGAGGAAGGGCAGUAAGUUAAUACCUUGCUGUUUUGACGUUACCAACAGAAUAAGCACCGGCUAACUUCGUG